rnacentral:rRNA from 1 species
AUUGAACGCUAGCGGGAUGCCUUACACAUGCAAGUCGAACGGGGUGGCGAACGGGUGAGUAAGGUAUCGGAACGUGCCCAGUCGCGGGGGAUAACUAAGCGAAAGCGUAGCUAAUACCGCAUACUUUUGGAGCGGCCGGUAUCGGAUUAGCUAGUUGGUGGGGUAACGGCUCACCCAGGCGACGAUCCGUAGCUGGUUUGAGAGGAGGACCAGCCACACUGGAACUGAGACACGGCCCAGACUCCUACGGGAGGCAGCAGUGGGGAAUUUUGGACAAUGGGGGAAACCCUGAUCCAGCCAUGCCGCGUGUGCGAUGAAGGCCUUCGGGUUGUAAAGCACUUUUGGCAGGAAAGCGGUACCUGCAGAAGAAGCACCGGCUAACUCCGUGCCAGCAGCCGCGGUAAUAC